AGGUCAUGGUGCCAGCCAGAUCAGGUCUUUUUACUCCUGCAACUGGAUUCUGAGUAGGCUGUGCUUGGAUCAAACCACCCCUGGACCAAUCACCCAUCCCAUCCGAGCCUGCAGAGUCAGGCCAUGUCUGGGGCAGGGACGGCAGAGCAAGGUGACUGACACACAUCUUUCCAGAAUUCCAUGGAGAUACUGAACAGACACAGAGAGCAGAGCGGAUGUGGCAAGAGGAAGAGGAAGAGAGAGGAGACUUCGGAAGGAGUGGAGUCAUUCUGGGAAGAGGGAAU
rnacentral:lncRNA from 10 species